GGUAACAUCAAAUCGUACCCCAAACCGACACAGGUGGUCAGGUAGAGAAUACCAAGGCGCUUGAGAGAACUCGGGUGAAGGAACUAGGCAAAAUGGUGCCGUAACUUCGGGAGAAGGCACGCUGAUAUGUAGGUGAAGUCCCUCGCGGAUGGAGCUGAAAUCAGUCGAAGAUACCAGCUGGCUGCAACUGUUUAUUAAAAACACAGCACUGUGCAAACACGAAAGUGGACGUAUACGGUGUGACGCCUGCCCGGUGCCGGAAGGUUAAUUG
rnacentral:rRNA from 1 species